AUUUUAUUAUUAUGUCCAUUUGUCUUGUGGAAUCCUAAAUACGUAUUUCACGAAACUCACCUUGGGGAAACCCUGGGCUAAGCUAUAUUUACAUGUAAAUUAUGUUUGAUACCAAACAUGCCUAUUGUUUUUAUUUUCUUCAUCAUAACACUCCAUAACAGUUUAUCAACGUAUUCUAGCUUGCUAAUUAAAAUAACGGUCGGUUUGAGUGACGAGCGAAAGAUCUCUGUUAUUUUAACAGGUCUGUCAGACUGGAUAAAUAUUUUACAUAAUUUCCAAAGGUCUUGUCUGGAAAGGUUGUCUUGUAUAUAUUGUAGACAAACAAAACAUAUAUAACAUGUCACUACUUGAUAUCUGGCAAACGCUGAUGCAUAUAAAAAAUUAAUAGGCCAAAUAUGCUUGCGUAUAAAAAAAUUAAUAGUCCAAAUCUAUCUGGAAAUUAAUUAAAUUAAACGUUAAAUAUUUCAAAAUCUGUUUAUGUUACAAUAAAACAUAAAUUUUAGGCGACUAAAUAUUUAGUAAGUGAGAGUUUUAAAACAUAAAUUUUAGGCGACUAAAUAUUUAGUAAGUGAGAGUUUUAAAACAUAAAUUUUAGGCGACUCUGGAAAUUAGUUAAAUUAAAUGUUAAACGUUUCAAAAUCUGUUUAUGUUAAAAUAAAAAAUAAAUUUUAG
rnacentral:lncRNA from 1 species